CCAAUAGCGUAUAUUAAAGUUGUUGCAGUUAAAAAGCUCGUAGUUGAAUUUUGGGACUGGGCGAUUGGUCCGUUCUUGAACGAGCACUGGUCGGUCGGUCCUCACUGCUUGGCGAGGCGGAAUGUCCUUUAUUGGGUGUUGCGAGUAGCCAAGACCUUUACCUUGAAAAAAUUAGAGUGUUUAAAGCAGGCAUAUGCCAGAAUACAUUAGCAUGGAAUAAUAGAAUAGGACAAUGAUUCUAUUUUGUUGGUUUCUAGGACCGUUGUAAUGAUUAAUAGGGAUAGUUGGGGGCAUUAGUAUUCAAUUGUCAGAGGUGAAAUUCUUGGAUUUAUUGAAGACUAACUAUUGCGAAAGCAUUUGCCAAGGAUGUUUUCAUUAAUCAAGAACGAAAGUUAGGGGAUCGAAGACGAUCAGAUACCGUCGUAGUCUUAACCAUAAACUAUGCCGACUAGGGAUCGGGCGAAGUUAUUUUAAUGACUCGCUCGGCACCUUAUG
rnacentral:rRNA from 1 species